rnacentral:lncRNA from 1 species
UCUCUCCCAUGCUGACAGUGCUCUUAGCAGCCGCGGCCACAACACGACCUCAGUGACAGCAGCCACGGCGGGCCAGGAUCUGUGCUAAGGGUUUUCCAUGCCUCCGUUGCACGUACCCUAACAACCACCCAAGGAGGGGGUGUUGUCUUUGUAUCCCAGAACGGUUAAGCAGCUUACUUGGGAUCACACAAUCCACAGACUUCCCUUGUUGAGGUGAGGCAGCGCCUUCGACGUCUCUGACUCCUAGGCCAGGUGUGUGUCUAGCUCCGUGAUGGAAGGUGCCAGCUUCCCUUGUAAGUGACCAGCAUGGGCUCUGCUUCACCCUUCCGGGCUCCCAGCUUACCCAGACCUUAGCAGUCUGCUGACUCCAGCUUUCAGCAGAGCAGAAACAACGCCUUGGGAAGACUUAAAACAACUUUGAAUAAGAACCUGCUUGAGAAAGAUUUGCCUUACAAGCUAAAUGUUACAUUUCCACUCAACAGAAAGAUGAGCUCAGUCGUUGUUUGGCAAUUGAAAAUCUGAGUUGCGUCAGCACACUUCCCCAAAUCCCACUGCAGGCGGAGGAUGAUGAAGCUUUCCUUUCUGGGGUGUUUGUUUUACGUAAGUAGUGACUUACUUUUCAGAGGUAAAAAAAAAAAAAAAAUCUGUGUUGAUAUAUGUCUCCCUCAAACCAAAAAUAGGACUGGGGAUUGAUUUAAACGUUUGCAGUUCCCCAUUUGAAGAUGACAGAAAGCCCAUAUCGACUGGUUCUGCCUUUGUUUUUGUUUUUCACUAAUUUAUAUUCACAAAAUGAAGCCAUAAGCUUAGACCUCACCGAAUGGAAAACAGGCAUGGACUUCAGCAGGCAAUAUAUUAGCAUAUUUAUCAACAUCCUUUAGAUUUUUGCUUUCAUUUUUUAAAUUACCAUGUAAACUUGAAGAUAACCCCAGUUUUCCCAUUUGUGGGAACAUAAGAAAGGGAGAUGAAAAAAAAUAAUAUUUGUCCCUUAUCUAUGAAGUGCUUUUAUUUUUUAAAUUUUUUUUAUUACCUGAAGAACUACAUUAUCGUCAAUAUGAAGUGCUGUUUUUUUAAGCAUUAUGAUUAGACUUAAGGAUUCUAAGGACUAAAGUAUUAAGGUGUUUUUUGUUGUUAUUUGCUAAUCAUUAAUCAACUGUUUUACCUGAUUAAUUUUCUCUUUGGGAAAAUAGAUUGAGAUUGUGAUCUGGGAGACCAAAGUAGACAUUACUUUAUCAAUGAAGAAGGACCUUAAGGUUAACGAAACAAAAAGUUGGCCAGGUGAGGUGGCUCACGCCUGUAAUCCCAGCACUUUGGGAGGCAGAGGUGGGUG